rnacentral:rRNA from 1 species
GACGAACGCUGGCGGCGUGCUUAACACAUGCCAGUCGAACGAUGAUGCCAGCUUGCUGGUGGAUUAGUGGCGAACGGGUGAGUAACACGUGAGCAACCUGCCCCUGACUUCGGGAUAACCGCGGGAAACCGUGGCUAAUACCGGAUAUGACGCGCUAUCGCAUGGUGGUGUGUGGAAAGAUUUAUCGGUUGGGGAUGGGCUCGCGGCCUAUCAGCUUGUUGGUGGGGUGAUGGCCUACCAAGGCGACGACGGGUAGCCGGCCUGAGAGGGUGACCGGCCACACUGGGACUGAGACACGGCCCAGACUCCUACGGGAGGCAGCAGUGGGGAAGAUUGCACAAUGGGCGCAAGCCUGAUGCAGCGACGCCGCGUGAGGGAUGACGGCCUUCGGGUUGUAAACCUCUUUCAGUAGGGAAGAAGGCCUUCGGGUUGACGGUACCUGCAGAAGAAGCGCCGGCUAACUACGUG